rnacentral:rRNA from 1 species
CACGUAGGGCGCGAGCGUUGUCCGGAAUUAUUGGGCGUAAAGAGCUCGUAGGCGGCCUGUUGCGUCCGCUGUGAAAGCCCGGGGCUUAACCCCCGGGUCGGCAGUGGGAUACGGGCAAGCUAGAAUUCGGUAGGGGAGACUGGAAUUCCUGGUGUAGCGGUGAAAUGCGCAGAUAUCAGGAGGAACACCGGUGGCGAAGGCGGGUCUCUGGGCCGAUAUUGACGCUGAGGAGCGAAAGCGUGGGGAGCGAACAGG